AAUUAUGUGAGAUGAGGUGAACCUGUACCAAAAUUCCCAGGCUCACAGGUUUGGAGGACACCUGUUUGGAAGGGCCGUCUGAGAGAUUUGGAAAGAGGGACAGGUGAGGAUGAUCUGGCAGAGGAGGAGAGUUGCAAGCAUGUUCAGAACUCUCAAAGAACGGUCCCUUGCUAGCAGAAGUAUUUUCCUAAUCCUCUCUCCUCCUGACCGCCCUCCCGCACCAUCCCCGCCCUGCAUGUGGGUCUCACUUCCAGAGGCAGCUGCCUCACGUUCAGCUCCUGACACCUUCAGAAACUCUGCUAAUAAAUGCAGAUCGGAAAGCAUUCGGCCCAGGGGGACCAAUUUCUUUUUCCAUCACCUGUGGCUUCUCAACGUGAAAUUAAAAGUCAGCAGCAAGUAAUUGCAGCUGGCGGCAGCUCCCAGGGUUCAGUGGCUGCCAGGGGACCAGGUCUGUGUGCUGCCUGCCCUCUGUCCCUCCCACCUCCCAUCCUGAGAUUGAGCAAACUACGCGAUUCUUGGCUUUUUCACAAAAAUGAGACCCACGGCACUGUCAGCAAGAGGCUAGCCACGUACCCCCAGCAGGUCACUUCAGCAAUUGUCACUGCAUCUCUGACUGCCCCGUCAUCUCAGAGCUAUCCUGAGACCAUGUGCAGACUGGCCAUUGUAAGCACUGGGACAGAGGAGGCCAGAGCAGCCUGGGCGGUGGGGCUGAGUGAGGGGGCACUGGGAAGCCGGGAUCCUUUGAACUGCAGGCUCUGUCAUCCUCAGCGUCACCGGACGGCCACCAGCGGCCAGACGUCUCUUCUGCAUUCAGGCAGGAAGAGCAGGAAGCGGCCAGGAGACAGGGCGGCGACUGCGUCUGGAAGCAGCCCUUCCCUGGCAGGCCAGACCCCUGCCUCGCGCACCUCACUAGUGAACCCGAUCACGCGCGGGGCCCCAGUGAGGGGCGGCGGGGGCGCGGGGCCAAGGCGG
ensembl:lncRNA